rnacentral:tRNA from 1 species
GGCGGAUGUAGCCAAGUGGAUCAAGGCAGUGGAUUUUUUAAUCCACCCAUGCCGCAA